rnacentral:rRNA from 1 species
AUGCAAGUCGAGGGGUAACGGAAGUAGCUUGCUACUAGACGACGACCGGCGCACGGGUGAGUAACGCGUAUGUAAUCUGCCUUGUACAGAGGGAUAGCCCAGAGAAAUUUGGAUUAAUACCUCAUAGUAUUACUGAGUCGCAUGAUUUGGUAAUUAAAGCUCCGGCGGUACAAGAUGAACAUGCGUGACAUUAGCUAGUUGGUAAGGUAACGGCUUACCAAGGCUACGAUGUCUAGGGGUUCUGAGAGGAUGAUCCCCCACACUGGUACUGAGACACGGACCAGACUCCUACGGGAGGCAGCAGUGAGGAAUAUUGGUCAAUGGACGCAAGUCUGAACCAGCCAUCCCGCGUGAAGGAUGACUGCCCUAUGGGUUGUAAACUUCUUUUAUAU